AACAAGGUCUCCGUUGGUGAACCAGCGGAGGGAUCAUUAUCGAGUUAUUCAACUCCCAAACCCUAUGUGAACUUACCACUUGUUGCUUCGGCGCGCGCUUCGGCGCCGCCGAGGACACUUAAACUCUUUGUUUUUAUAAGCAUUUCUGAGUGGCCGAAAGGCAAAAAUACAAAUGAAUCAAAACUUUCAACAACGGAUCUCUUGGUUCUGGCAUCGAUGAAGAACGCAGCGAAAUGCGAUAAGUAAUGUGAAUUGCAGAAUUCAGUGAAUCAUCGAAUCUUUGAACGCACAUUGCGCCCGCCAGCAUUCUGGCGGGCAUGCCUGUUCGAGCGUCAUUUCAACCCUUGAGCCCGACUCUUUUGAGGACGGCUCGGCGUUGGGGGACGGCAGACUCCCCCCGGCAUCUCGCCGGGGACGCCGCCCCCGAAAUCUAGUGGCGGCCCUCCGAGGCGACCUCUGCGUAGUAACUUGUUCUCGCACCGGAAAGCUCAGAGCGGCCACGCCGUAAAACCCCAACUUUUUUCAGGUUGACCUCGAAUCAGGUAGGACUACCCGCUGAACUUAAGCAUAUCAAUA
rnacentral:rRNA from 1 species